CAAGACUCCUACGGGAGGCAGCAGUGGGGAAUAUUGCACAAUGGGGGAAACCCUGAUGCAGCAACGCCGCGUGAGUGAAGAAGUAUUUCGGUAUGUAAAGCUCUAUCAGCAGGGAAGAAGAUGACGGUACCUGAAUAAGAAGCCCCGGCUAACUACGUGCCAGCAGCCGCGGUAAUACGUAGGGGGCAAGCGUUAUCCGGAUUUACUGGGUGUAAAGGGAGCGCAGACGGCAGUGCAAGUCUGGAGUGAAAGCCCGGGACCCAACCCCGGAACUGCUCUGGAAACUGUGCGGCUAGAGUACUGGAGGGGCAGGCGGAAUUCCUAGUGUAGCGGUGAAAUGCGUAGAUAUUAGGAGGAACACCAGUGGCGAAGGCGGCUUACUGGACAGUAACUGACGUUGAGGCUCGAAAGCGUGGGGAGCAAACAGGAUUAGAUACCCGAGUAAUG
rnacentral:rRNA from 1 species